GAGGUGACAGACCGGGCAACUUUCUAAUUUGUUCCUUUUGGUGUGAAGGUGUUACACUCCUCUGAAGUUUUAGGCAUGAUUGAUCAAGGGGAGUCCUAGAACAUCUGAGAUUGCGUACUGUCCAGGUGUCCCCUGACCACUGUACUCUUACAUGCUCCAAAGAACUCUAAGACCUUUAGUUUCUCAAGGCUUGGCCUCUGUGAUUUUGGUGGGAUCUCUCGAAAUCUUGUGGUGGGUAUCCACCAGAGAAGACUACUUGGCCAUGGGUGUAAGCCAAUAGAAAAUCUUUAUAAGUCAGCCAGCAACCACACUGGGUGUUUGGGGUUCCAGUGUAGCCCCAAGCCUUUCUCAGGGUGAACUUUUAAGCACAAAACCACAUCCUGGGCUGACAUACUUCAGUUAACAAGAACAGUUAGCCAGAAGCAGAACUACAGAGCCCAAAAGGCAAGGCCUGGAACUCCCCAUCUUCUCCCCGAGCCACCAAGUUGGCAAGACUCUCCCACCCCUGUACCUGCCAACUGAUGGGUGGAGGCUAGAACUGCUUGGUGUCCUGAGGAACCUGCGCACUCAGGUACCCGUCCUGGGUAACUUAGCUUCUAGCAGCAGAGGCUCCGCAGUGCACCCGCCCCAUCGGACUUGUCUGCUUCUCUGGGUCCCUUGCCCCGACCCAGAUGCAUCCACAUCCGCAUCCGCAGGGCAGAAUUAUGACAAGAGCCCUGUUCAGUUAGCUUCGGUCCGCGGAUUGCAGCCCGGGAGCCGCCUCUUUGCACCUCCUGCAGCCCUCAGCCUAGUCCCUGCCCUCCCAGGGCUGGAGCCUGUGUGAGGAGGAACCAGCCAGUAUAGUGGCCUCUCCUCUGAAAACCCCCAACCCCACCGCCCUUGUAAUCAACGCCCUGUCCAACCAACCUUGCUCCCUCAAGUUGGAACGCUAUCUCCAUUGAUCGCCACCUACAGGUGCCCACACACAUAAUACACAUGCACUCAUAAAAUAAACGAAUAAAUAAAUAGAUAGAUAGAUAGAUAGAUAGAUAGAUAGAUGGAGUAAAAAGGUUCGGAGGUAAGAGAACUUUUUGUGCAAACAUUAGGAUCUGAUUACAACCCCCUAGCACCAUAUAAAGAGCCAGACAAGGUCCCAGUUCCUGAAACUCUGGCCGUGGAGUGGGGUGACCAGGUUCGCUGGGACUUUAGUAGCCCAGCUCCAGGUUUAGUAGUGACAGACUCAGUCUGAAGGAAUAAGACAGAGAGUGGCAAAGCAAGACACCCAGCCACCUUUCUUUGGCCCCAGGAGCUGAGCUGAGUCAGCACUGUCGACGGACCAAAAAAAAAAAAAAAAAAAAAAAAAAAGGUAAAAAUAAUUCAAGCAGUGGAAAGCGAAAGUUGGGAAGCUCUGGUGCUGCACCCUUCUUCAAGUGCCCUGGGCUGACAAGACAGCUCAGAAGGCAAGAUGAUGGUUAUGCAAUCAUGGGACUAGAAUUCAGACCCCUGUCCUCUACUAAUAAACUGCUCUGUGGAGAGAGACCCGAGGAUGGAUGAGGCUUGCUGACUGAUAGCCUGGCCUGGAAAACUCAGCCUUUGGUUCAGGGAGAGACCAUGUCUCACGUCUCUUAAGGCUUCUGCGCAGGAUAGGCGAGUAUACCUGGGAGCUCGUGCGCACACACAUCUAUAUGAGUACUAUGCUCAUGUGUAUAACUCUCAGUUUUUAAAAACAGGAGAGUGUUCCCCUGGGACAGAGGAGAUGGCAGAUAAAGGCGCCUGUUCAGUUCCCAGAAGAAAAAACACACAUGGUGGAAGGAGAAAAGCCAACUGAUCUUGCAAGUUCACCUCUGACCUCCACAAGUGCACUGAUAUGCCUCCUUUCCUCAGUACAUAAGUAAAUGUAAAACCAAGUUUUUAAAAAUGGUUCCUUAAACUCAGCUCUCCCUUCCCACCUGCUGGGUCUUUGGGAUGCUAGUGACUGUCUGUAUGCAGCCCUCCCCAGGCUAUGCACCUUGGACAUGGCUGGGGUGGGAGGAAGGGGGUUGGCUGUGGGUCCUGUUUUUGAGGCUAUUCAGUCUCAGAGACCAAGAAACUAAGAUUCAAAGAGCACCUGCUGUGCUUGCUGGAGGCUGAAGCUGGGCUGUGAAGCUGAAAGGGACAUUGGUGACUUCAGCAGUGGGCUUCAGGGUUCUAGAAAGAUUCCCAGGGCUUCCAUAGCCCAGACUCCAUAGCCCAGACUGACUCAGACAUUAAGACUAGAGAAGACCUUGCCACUUUACUGUGCCAUGUUUAGUCAUCCAGAGAAGCUGUAGGAUUCCCAAGGAAAGUGUUUUCUGUGCGGUUGCUGUAUCAGAAAUGGAGGAAUCACCCUCAGCUCCCAUCUCCUGCACUCUUCACCUGAAUCUACAAUUUCACUUUUAGCCCUAACUCAACUUCAUCCUUUCCCCAGUUUGUCCAUUGUCCAGGUCCUUGUCACAUCCUAAUCUUUGCCCUGCCUUUGGGAGCAAUCCGGUUUGGACCUGCUUGGACUAGUUUGGACUAGCUUGAUCCUGUUUAAGAGCCUGCCUGUUUAAUCCAGUUUACACUGGUUUAAUCCAGUUUGGACAUGUUUAAUUAAUUUCAUCUCAAUUAAGAUACCCCCUUUCAAGAUAUGUCUAGGUUUGUGUCACAUUGACACAAAUUAACAAUUUCUUUCCAGAUUGAUAAUUUUUAAAAAAGAUUUAUUUAUUAUAUAUAAGUACACUAUAGCUCUCUUCAGGCACACCAGAAGAGGGCAUCAGAUCUCAUUACAGAUGGUUGUGAGCCACCAUGUGUGAUUUGAACUCAGGACCUCUGGAAGAGCAGUCAGUGCUCUUAACCACAUAGCCAUCUCUCCAACCCCAGAUUGAUAAUUUUUAAUUUUGUUUUAAGUAAAUCACUUAUAUAGUUUUCCCUAAUACUUUUCACAUAUAUUUGUCAUUUCUAUUAUAUAUAUGUAUCUAUAAAGCCUAAGAAUAUUUUGAGUGAUUCUUUUAGAAAGGCUCCAUCUAUGUACUGUCCUGAAGCUGGAUCCCUCAGGUGUCAGGUAUGCUAACAUGUUUGCAAUCUGCCUGGGUCAUUCAGCUUCUGUGAGCUGUACAGUUGUGGAGUUUUACCUGAGCUGAUUAUUUACCUCUUAGGUAACUUUAGGGAGGACAGGGGCUUUGGGAGGAGCUCCUGAAGGCUGGUGAGCCUCAUGAAAUACCCCCUCUCUCCAGUAGGGGAUGCUCCUAGACCCAGUUUCCUGAGGGCUACCUACAGCUACUCUUUAUUCAAGAUGGAAAAUUUCACAUCCACCUUGAAAGGAACAAGUAUGCAAUAAUGUAUUUUAUAAUGUAAAUCCAAAAGAAAGUACUCCCAGGUAAUGUCGGUAUCUUUUAAUCUUUUGCCCCAAAAUGUAAUUGUUUUGCCUUCUUGCCCCUUUCCAUUUCACAACAUUUACAUAGAAAACUUUUAAUAAGACAGUCAUUUACAUAGCCAACAAGUUGGGCAGGGCAGGAUAUAGGUAGACAUCAGCCUGGUGCUGUGGGAGCCAAAGCCUGCUAAAGGGUGAAGUGACAUUCACAUAGGGCAAGCCUGAAUGUGCAUGGUAAGGAUCUAUCUUCACAAACUGGGGCAAUGUUGGUGAUGAGAGACGCGCUGUGUAAAACAGCUUGAACCAUCAAUUAGAUCAGUAGAGAAAUGGGCUCCACUACAGAAAAGACAGCAAUUAGUUCUUCAGUGAUGGACUUGAGAUAGGUCCAUGACCUUAAGUUUUGAAUAGUGUCAGUUCUGUUGUGACAUAUGCCCCAGUAAAUGCUAUUAUGCCUUAGAAAGUCACACAAGACAAUCAAGAGUUUAUUGAAAAACAAAGUUGGAACAGGAAACUCAAAAUGUUUCCUCAGGGACACACACGUGCAUCUGAGACAGGGAACUGUUGAACAUGGCAGUACAGUUUAUGGACAACAGAUGCAAGGAUGAACAAACGUGGGUCUAUACCUAGCAAAGGACCUAAAGUGUCUAUAACAUAAGCAUCAGGAGGAUCACAGCUUUGGGGUUAUUUUGAGGUAGAUGUCACAAAACACCUAAUAAAUACAACUUAAGGAAGGAAGGGCUCAUGUUGGCUCGUGGUUUGAAAGCUUACAGUCCUCGGUGGAACUAAACACCGUGGUGGGGGUUGGAAGCGUUUUCUACCAAUGAAUGGUCUCUGAAAGCACCAUAUCAGAUAAGCCCAGAGAUGUGUUGUGGGACAAUGAAAGGUACCCUGGUUCCUGGUUGAGGAGGCUUGAACCCCAGAUACCCUGAAAGGGAUGGUAGGUGUUUCACCUGACUCCCAGGAAACCAGGCUGGUCACUAGCAGCAGUCACAUAAAGGGCAACACCACAGGCCCCUCCACAGGUAGAGGAUGUAAGCUCAAGACAGAUCUCCAUUAUAAUGAGGUCUCUAAGUUUAGGCCUGGAGGCUUAGCCAAUGAAUUUCCCUUCUCAGACAAUCCUCCCUGCAAAAGGUAUUUAAUCUCAGGCCCACUCUGAGAAGUGGGGUCUGGUUUUACUCCUCCACUUUCUGCCAUGACAAUAAAUGCCUUAAAACCA